CAAAACAGAGUUUGGAAAACUCUAAAGUCUUUCUCAAUAACUGAGGAUAGGAAAGAGGUUCCUAUUCGCAGGUGAAAAUGCACAGAAGGGGAGGGGGAUCCUCCUAACCUGGUGGAUAGCCCUUCCUGUCCCUUUAUUGAUCCUUUUAAUGUAAUUUAUUAUCCACCAGCCUUGCUUUCACCCGGAAGGCAUCCUAGGCUCACGUGCGCUUCCCCCCGCGUCGGACUGCAUCUCCCACCCGCCUUCUCUAGCAUGGCACAUCCCGCGGAAAGGAGUGGCACACGUUUCCCAUCCUUGCUUUAUACGAGGACUAAGAAAGGAAUUGGGGAAGCGGGAAAGAGUUUUUUCCCCCAUAAGUUAUUGAUACUUCUCUAUCUCUGGAUUUAUUUUUUAAGAAAGCAACACAGUUUCAUCACGUUCUCUUGUGAUUGUGAGCUAAAAUCAUUAUGAAAACUAUGUAAACUUCAGGGCAAGCUGAAAGAUGGCGUCAAGCAGCCAUUUAACUGCAGACCAAUAAGCUAUUCACCAACUUUGUUUCUUCGGCAAGAAUGUAAGAAGUGAAUGUUGACUCAGGGUGCAUCUACACUGUAGUAUUAAUGCAGUUUUCUAGGCGCGAAGAUGGCUGCAGACAUAGACUUGGUUGUGCCAUAGGUUUCUGGAAAGGCAUUUUUGUUUUUGAUUUCUGCCUGUGCAAUAGAAGCAUACAGGUCUGGUCAUUCAACCACCUAGCUUGGUAUUGUAAAUUCUCUAGGGCUUCAGGCAGGAUUCUUUCCCAGCCUUAUUUGGAAAUGCCAUAUUUUAUAUAUUUAUUUUGUAUAUUUAAAUCCCUCUCCUCUAAUUUGAGCGGUUUUGUUAGUAUACUAGCUUUGCCCGGCCACGCAUUGCUGUGGCUUAAUGGGAAUCCUUUGUUGGCCAGGUGGAAUAGCAGUGAAUAGCCUUGCAGUCUCAAAGCCUGGCCGUUUUCUGGUGUAGCUGGAGCUUUUUGUUGUAUGAACGUAGAGGCAUGGAUGAGGGGUUGUGCUGCCAAGUUUAGUGUUUCUGGGAUGUGUAGUUUUGUUGUUUUGUCCUAGGCCGAAAUUUCAUUACCCUUAUAUAUAUACAGUAGAGUCUCACUUAUCCAAGCUAAACGGGCCGGCAGAAGCUUGGAUAAGCGAAUAUCUUGGAUAACAAGGAGAGAUUAAGAAAAAGCCUAUUAAACAUCAAAUUAGGUUAUGAUUGUACAAAUUAAGCACCAAAACUUCAUGUUAUACAACAAAAUUGACAGAAAAAGCAGUUCAAUACGCAGUAAUGCUACGUAGUAAUUACUGUAUUUACGAAUUUAGCACCAAAAUAUCACAAUAUAUUGAAAACAUUGACUACAAAAAUGGCUUGGAUUAUCCAGAGGCUUGGAUAAGCGAGGCUUGGAUUAGUGAGACUCUACUGUAUAUAGAUUCUGAUGUCCUCUAUAUGAUGUUUAUUAUGUGACGUGCUUUGUUAUGUUAUGUUUUAUAGGCAUUGAAUGUUUGCCGAUCUUUUUGUUCUACACCGCCCUCAAUCCCUUUUGGGAGAUAGGGCGGUAUAGAAAUAAAGCAUUGUUGUUGUUGUUGUUAAACCUGGGAUUUUCUACUUCUGUUGUACCAUUCAGUAGUGACCUUCCCCUACAAUCUUUUUCAUAGCAGCUGCACACUGGGGAAAAUAUUUUCAUUUGUUUAUCAACAUCUACCAAGAUCAGUGCUGGGCUGUGGCACAGGCUGGUUAGCAGCCAGCUGCAACAAAUCACUCUGACCAAGAGGUCAUGAGUUUGAGGCCAGCCCGGUGCCUGCGUCUGUCUCUGUUCUAUGUUAUGGCAUUGAAUGUUUGCCUUAUAUGUGUAAUGUCAGUCCCCUUCGGGGUGAGAAGGGCGGAAUAUAAAUACUGUAAAUAAAUAAAAUAAAUUAUGGGCUAGUGGCCAUCAGCGUAUAUGUGAACAUAGGGGUUUUUUUUAUCCCACUUUACAGUCACAUGUGUCAUUCUGAUAUCCAUUUCAUCUCCUUGGAGAGAUCCUAUUGGAAUUUUUGGUAUUCCCUUUUUGUUUGACAAAACCAUACAACCCUCACCAUGUCCACAGAGGAAAUGUUUCUGGACUUUGCAUGGAUACUUGAGACUGCAGAUAGUAGCAAACCCUAUUAUUGAGAAUAAUUCAUACAAGGGGCCCUAAGUGAAUAAGUGAAACUGUGGAUAAGUAACACAUGUUUAUUGGUUCUGCAGAUCCAGGGGUCCCUAUAGUUCAAUGUUGUAAAUGGCAAACCUGACAACCUUGCUAUCCAUAAUAGAAAGCCCACAUCGGCUUUCUGUUCCUUAACAAUUUUCAGUUGUAAUUCCAUCACAAUUACAUUUCCUUAGGGCCAUUCAGUGAGUAACUUUUGUCAAAGGCCUUUUGGAAACUAAGACUGUAAGCAAUUUAGUAGGGUCCAGUCCAUCCUGAUGUUUUUCUACAUCCAUCUGGAAAAUCAGUUAACUCAGUAGCAAAUAGCUAAGCCUUCAAGAAUUUUAGAAAGAAUAAAAGCUCUCAAUGUGUCAUUAUGUUCAAUGUAUGUUAUGAUUGAGCCUCAUGGCUCUGCUUCUGGCAGACGUGGACGUAAGACUCCUCGAGAGUCAGAUACUCUCGAGGAGCGAGAAAGAAAGAGGCUGCGAGAUAUCUUUGCAGAACCAUCUGACGAAGAAUCUUUUAAGGGGUUCACGGAAAGAAUGGAGGAAGAGCUGGUUAGCUCGGAAGAGGAUGAGAUGGAUUGGUCUCGGGUAAGGGAGGAGUUGGGUGCCACUGGCAAUGAUGGGAUGGAGGAUGAUUGGGGACCUUCAGGAUUAGACCCAUGGACAAGCUGGAGGAAUGGGACGGGAUCCACAGCUGGGGAUGCUGUGGGGCGUAGUCAGAGGUGUUCCAGCUCUGAUGAGGAAAGUGAUGAGGAAACGCCCGGGUUAAGGAGGGCAGCUGAUAGUGAUGAGGAUUUGUAACUGGCAUAAAAUGAGGCUUGGGAGCAAUUGCAAAUUGCGUUGGGCAAGGUAAUCUGGACGAACGCUUGGGAUCUGUGUGGGACGCUUUCCUGAAGACUGGUGUGUUUUCGUGUGCUGAUACCUUUGACCUUCCGUCGUCUUCUUGACGGACGCCAUCUGCUACUCUGGAUUUACGGACUGAAAACUGACUACGGGCUCGCUUUCUCCUAUUGGACUUGGAAAACUGCAAACGUCUGAUUCUGCCUCUCGACCUUCGGAACGAACUGGGACUACGCUACUGCUUCAAUCCUUGGCUGCUGAGUUUGUAUUGGAAAUUUGCCUUGCUGUGUGAAGGAGUGACUCCUAGUUACUCAAAACAUAGUGCUGGCAGCAGAGAGGCAUCUGCUGCCAAUUAGUUGCAUUCUUUUGAACUCUUUGUUUCCCAGCUUCUGUUUGUUUAUCCCCAGGCUGAAGCAAGCUGUUUUGAUUUUACCCGGAUUAAACUCCGGUUUAAUCCGGUUUAUCUUUUGAACGUUUUUCUUGCCCCUUUUUGUUUUUAAAGGCUAAAGUUGCCUUGCCCUUGUCUUUUACGGGCAUUUUGAGUUCUGUAAAUCCAAUAAACUCUGUUAUCUUUGA